CAUGAGUUUUGCAUGCUUUUUUUUAAUAUAAGUUAUUAAGAAAAAUUAUUUUGGGAACAGUCCCUUUCCACCUAUGUCUGCAAGUGGUUGACUUAGUAUCUUAUCUCCCGUUGUCUUUAUUAUCAUAAUUUGGAUAGCUCAAUCUUCAGCUAGCUCUGCAUGUGAAGCCAUGAGUUUGCCCCGUGUCUAAUGAGCUUGAGCAAGUGCAAGCGGGCUUCCUCUGGUGCCAAUUCUAAUGAGAGCAAGUUUAGCUUCCUGGGCUUGCUGUUCAGCAGCAACAGAAGCCUUCACAAACCUCAAAGUCUGUUUCUUU